rnacentral:tRNA from 1 species
CAUUAGAUGGCUGAAGGCAAGCACUGGUCUCUUAAACCAUUUUAUAGUAUCUUAGCAAAUACUUCUAAUG